rnacentral:sRNA from 1 species
UAGGCUUGGAUUUGGUUGUCUGCCGUGG